GUGGGGAAUUUUGGACAAUGGGCGCAAGCCUGAUCCAGCAAUGCCGCGUGCAGGAAGAAGGCCUUCGGGUUGUAAACUGCUUUUGUACGGAACGAAACGGUCCUGGUUAAUACCUGGGGCUAAUGACGGUACCGUAAGAAUAAGCACCGGCUAACUACGUGCCAGCAGCCGCGGUAAUACGUAGGGUGCAAGCGUUAAUCGGAAUUACUGGGCGUAAAGCGUGCGCAGGCGGGUUUGUAAGACAGGCGUGAAAUCCCCGGGCUCAACCUGGGAAUUGCGCUUGUGACUGCAAGGCUGGAGUGCGGCAGAGGUGGAUGGAAUUCCGCGUGUAGCAGUGAAAUGCGUAGAUAUGCGGAGGAACACCGAUGGCGAAGGCAAUCCCCUGGGCCUGCACUGACGCUCAUGCACGAAAGCGUGGGGAGCAAACAGGAUUAGAAACCCCUGUAGUCC
rnacentral:rRNA from 1 species